rnacentral:rRNA from 1 species
UCUUUUCUCGAAAGUAAAAGAUCUAAUUAAUUAUAUGAGUUUUUGUGUCAAUAAAAUUCAAUAUAUUUAUUUAGGUGUAAAAUGUUAAUCGUUUUUACUAAUAUCUGGUAACUUUAAAAAAAAAUUUAGUUUGAAUCGUUAUGAAGAUCUUUAUUUUAAAGUGAUUUUAGUUAUGAUUUUAAGUUUUAGGGGAUGAGCUCUAAAAUUAAUAUAAAAGAAGAAAUAGUUUUUGGUUUUUAGUAGGCUUAGAAUUUGUCAUGGGAUAGUGUUAUAAGAUAAAAAUUAAAGUUUAAGAUUUAUUUUUCUUUUGUUUCUAUAAAGUUAAUAAAAAAAUGGUUUUACAAUUGGAAAUAUGAUAGUAUAAGUAGAUAAGAAUAAGUUUAGAAUAAAAUAUAAAUUUUUCUUAAAAAUUUUUUGUAUAAUAUGUAAUAAAAGAACUCGGCAAAAGAGAUUUCCGAAUGUUUAACAAAAACAUUUCCUCUUGAAAAAGGGAGGUAAGACCUGCUCACUGAAUUUUAAAGAGCCGCAGUAUUCUGACUGUGCUAAGGUAGCAUAAUCAUUAGUCUUUUAAUUGGAGACUGGUAUGAAUGGUUAAACGAGAGAUCAGCUUUUUUUGUUACAAAAAUUGAAUUUUAUUUUUUAGUGAAAAAGCUAAAAUUGUUCAGAAAGACGAGAAGACCCUAUAGAGUUUUAUAUUUUUUAUAACUUUUUUUUAUUAGAUUUUUUUGAAUUGAGUUGUGAAAAAGUAUUUUGUUGGGGCGACAUUAAGAUAAAAAAAACUCUUUAUUUUUUAAACUUUAAUGAAAGAAAUAAUUGAUCCUUUAAAAAAGAUCAUAAGAAAAAAUUACCUUAGGGAUAACAGCGUAAUCUUUUUUGAGAGUUCUAAUCGACAAAAAGGUUUGCGACCUCGAUGUUGGACUAAAAUUUAGACA